AUUGAACGCUGGCGGCGUGCUUAACACAUGCAAGUCGAACGAAGUGGCGAACGGGUGAGUAACGCGUAAUCAACCUGCCCUUCAGAGGGGGACAACAGUUGGAAACGACUGCUAAUACCGCAUACUGAAGGAGUGGCUUGCGUCUGAUUAGCUAGUUGGAGGGGUAACGGCCCACCAAGGGGAUGAUCAGUAGCCGGGCUGGGGGGGUGGACGGGCACAAUGGGACUGAGACACGGCCCAGACUCCUAACGGGGGCAGCAGUGGGGAAUCUUCCGCAAAGGGCGAAAGUCUGGCGGAGGAACGCCGCGGGAGUGAUGACGGCCUUCGGGUUGUAAAGCUAUGUUAAUCGGGACGCGGUACCGGAAUAGAAAGCCACGGCUAACUACGUGCCAGCAGCCGCGGUAAUUC
rnacentral:rRNA from 1 species